CCUACGGGUGGCAGCAGUGAGGAAUAUUGGUCAAUGGGCGAGAGCCUGAACCAGCCAAGUCGCGUGAGGGAUGACGGCCCUAUGGGUUGUAAACCUCUUUUAUAUGGGAAUAAAGUGUGCCACGUGUGGGAUUUUGUAUGUACCUUAUGAAUAAGGAUCGGCUAACUCCGUGCCAGCAGCCGCGGUAAUACGGAGGAUCCGAGCGUUAUCCGGAUUUAUUGGGUUUAAAGGGGGCGUAGGUGGCGUUUUAAGUCAGUUGUGAAAGUUUGUGGCUCAACCGUAGAAUUGCCGUUGAAACUGGCGGUCUUGAGUACAAUAGAGGCAGGCGGAAUGCGUGGUGUAGCGGUGAAAUGCUUAGAUAUCACGCAGAACCCCGAUUGCGAAGGCAGUAUGCCGGGCCGCAACUGACGCUGAGGCACGAAAGCGUGGGGAUCAAACAGGAUUAGAUACCCGAGUAGUC
rnacentral:rRNA from 1 species